CGCAUGCGCAUGUAAUCGCCUGGGCAGUGAUGGCAAGUUCAGAAUCGCCGAGUUUCCGAGGUAAAACUGACAAAUUCAGGUGAACAUCAACUGAAGGAAAUUCUCCGAUUCCGCGUGCAGAUCUGGGUGUGAUGAGAAGCCACAAUAUCUGCAGAAUCUGACAUUAACAAUUAGUCGUGAACUUGCAACUGGAUUCAAUCACCAUGAUGGUUAAAAAUUUAACAUACAGUUUAUCCGAACUUUCUCCCUGAUGUGAAGUUACUGGUGUUUCAGCAGAUGUGAUGGUUGAGUAAAUCACUUUGCUCACUCAGGACAGAAGUGUGACCUGUACUUAAUGUAAACUCACUGGAGCAUCACAAGGUGGGUUGGUGUAAUGAAUCUUUUCCCACACGUGGUACAGGUGAAUGUUCUCUCCCCAGUGUGAACUUGCUGGUAUGAUUGUGUGAAUCCCUUCCAAACUGAGAGCCAGUGAUUGACAUCUCACUCCUAUCAACUCUCUGGGAAUUUACCAGCUCAGAUCACAGACAUGUACACGUAUUUGGGUUCUCCUUGUUACAAUUGGUGUGCUGUUGUCCAAAUAUCUCCCCCACAUUCAGGGAUCAGUGGCUUUCAAAUGCUGGUGAACAGACAGACACAGCAGAAUGGGCGAUCUGUUGUGUUUGAGAUUCCCAUGCACAAAUCCUUUGUCUUUUCUACCUUGUAAAAAGUUUACAGUGGACUUCUGUGGGUGAAGGACAACAUUUCAGAUAAUGUUAGUCUCUAUGGUGAUGUCUCAUGUCAAACCGUUGCAGUGAGGCUCAUCACAGUUUGGAGGAACACUUUAUCUUCUUACUGGACACAGUUCAGGCAUCUGGACACAACUCAGAGUCAGCAAUGCCAUUGACCCUCAAGAGUAGGUGAUGAUUCUUUCUCUUUGGAGAUUGACUCUGUGUGGUACUUUUGUGGUGUGGUUGCCACUGGUCGCUUGUUACUCAGUACGUUGAUAUGUACCUGGAGAGAAUAGAAAACAAACAUGGUCUCAGUGGCAGACAGUCAGAACCACAGGAUGUUGAACAAAGUGAUUUCCUAAAUGAGCAAAGGUGACACAAUGAUUUUGUCAACUGUCCAUUCCUCCCAGAGAUGCUUCCUGACCCGCUGAGUUCCCCCAGUGUUUGUGAGUGGCUGGAAUAAGUGGGUCGAUUUCAGACUGGAAGGAGGUAAUGCUUGGAGUACCCUAGGGAUUGGCUCUUGGCCUCAGUUGUUCACUGUUUAAUGACCAUGAGGAGGGAAGGAGAUGUGAGAUGUCCAAGUCUGCUGAUGACACAGAGACUGUGGAAGGAAAUCUGAUGCUGACAUUGUGAUUCUACAUCAAGUGAUUCAGAAGGCAGACUUACUGCACAGGGAGUGGAGUUUAUGAACGGGGCAGUGUAGUUACUAUUGUAGACGGUGCUGGUGAGGACACAUCUGGAAUUCUGUGCAUGGUUUUGUUCCCUGACCUGAAAGAAACAAAGAGAGUGACAUUGGAGUCAGUCCAGAGGAGAUUCAGCAGGGAAAUUCCUGGGAUGAUUUACCAGCAGAGGGAAGACAAUUUUGGCCAGGAUUUAUAGUCACAGACAGUCAGAAGGGGGCCUGAUAGAAUAUCUGUUGUACAUCUUGAUAGGCUAUUUCUCUUCACCACUGAGAGAGCCAUUGACCCAGGUCAAAUUUCUGGGACUGUAUGUGUGAGUGAACAAUCUCUGGGAUUCUCUGCCCCUGAGGAUGGGGAGGCCAGCUCACUGGGAAUAUUUGAAGUAGAGAUAGAUAAAUAUUUAAGGGAGUGAAGACCUGAGGAGAAGGGUGGUGGAACACAAGCUGGAAUCAGCAUAAAUCAGUCAUAAUUGUGAUGAAUAACCGUAAGACAUAGGGGCAGAAAUGGACCAUUCAGUCCAUCACAUCUGCUGUGCCAUUUCAUUGUAUUUGAUUAAUUAUCCUCUUAAUUAUUUGUCACUGCCUUUCCCCAUAACCCUUGAUGGCCCAACUAAUUAAGAACCUAUCAACUUCCACUUUAAAUAUAGCAAAUGACUUGGUCUCCACAGCUGUCUGUGGCAAUGAAUUUCACAGAUACACCACACUCUGGCUGAAGAAAGUCCACCGCAUACCUGUUCCAAAUAGACAUCCUUCUGAGGCUGAACUCCCUGGUCCUAGAUUCCCCCAUUAUAGGAACCAACCUCUCCAUAUCCACUGUCACCCUUUCAAUAUUGAUGAACCCCUCAUUUUUCUAAACAAGUACCAGUCCAAAGCCAUGAAAUACUCCUUCUGUAUUAACCCCUUUCAGUCCUGGAAUCAUUUUCAUGAACCUCCUCUGGAUCCUCAACGCCACUCACCCCCGACCCCCAACUCCGGAACAAUCUGUUACACCUACCCCUAUGUCUGGUAUGCCUCAAUCCCCUCCUCUAAGUAUCCUGAAACAUCAUCCUCAAUAAUGGACACUAACAUUUUCCCAACCACUGAUAUCAGGCUAACUGGCCUGGAAUUUCAUUUCUUUGCCUUUCUCCCUUCUGAAAGACUGGACUAAAACUUCCCAUUUUCCAGUCCUCUAGAACUGUUCCAGAAUCUAGUGGUUUUUAAUCAGUCUUCGGUAAUACCUGCACAAUCUCUUCAGUGACCUUUUUCUGAACCGUAAUGAACGGAGCUCAUCACCGUCAGUGUGAGAGAGAGAUCGGGGCUGCCGGGAGUUCACACUGGAUAAGUCAUACCUUCCUCAGAAAACAUUCCAAUGAUCCAGAAAUCUGAAACCAUAUACCUGCACAAAAAAACUUGUGGUAUCUAUGUGACAUCGAGAUAAUGAAGAACACUUUAGGAUAUGACAUUAUCAAAGAGUAUAUAUUCUUCAAAGUAUUCAUAGGUUUAUGUCAUGGUUAGGCAGAUUCAUAAGCACAUUUACGUGAUUUGAAAUAUUCUGUUAAUGAUCGAUUUUAAAACUGUAAAAAAGAUUUAAAUUAUGAAAAGGCAUAUUAGCAUGAAUAAUAUGACUUGUGAUAUUAAUAUUAAGUGACCCCGACUUCCGAGAUUUCAAUGAAUCGAAUCAAAGAAAUCCCAGCCGUCACUGCAAAGUUCUAAGUAAAUUUAUUAUCAAAGUACAGAUUUGUCACCAUGGGGCUGAAAAGGAGAGAAAGGAUCUGCCAUGAUUAAAUGGUGGAGCAGACUCAAUGGGUGAAAUGGCCUAAUUCUGCUCUGUCUUAUGGUCUUAUAUCCAACCCUGAGAUAUAUUUUCUUGUGGGCAUAUUCAAUAAAUAAUAACCAUAAAGAUUCAAUGAAAGACCGUA